rnacentral:rRNA from 1 species
GACGAACGCUGGCGGCGUGCCUAAUACAUGCAAGUUGAGCGAUGAAGAUUGGUGCUUGCACCAAUUUGAAGAGCAGCGAACGGGUGAGUAACGCGUGGGGAAUCUGCCUUUGAGCGGGGGACAACAUUUGGAAACGAAUGCUAAUACCGCAUAACAACUUUAAACAUAAGUUUUAAGUUUGAAAGAUGCAAUUGCAUCACUCAAAGAUGAUCCCGCGUUGUAUUAGCUAGUUGGUGAGGUAAAGGCUCACCAAGGCGAUGAUACAUAGCCGACCUGAGAGGUGAAUCGGCCACAUUGGAACUGAGACACGCCCCAAACUCCCAGGGAGGCAGCAGUAGGGAAUCUUCGGCAAUGGACGAAAGUCUGACCGAGCAACGCCGCGUGAGUGAAGAAGGGUGUCGGAUCGUAAAACUCUGUUGGUAGAGAAGAACGUUGGUGAGAGUGGAAAGCUCAUCAAGUGACGGUAACUACCCAGAAAGGGACGGCUAACUACGUG